UGGGGAAUUUUGGACAAUGGGCGAAAGCCUGAUCCAGCAAUGCCGCGUGUGUGAAGAAGGCCUUCGGGUUGUAAAGCACUUUUGUCCGGAAAGAAAUCCUUGGCUCUAAUACAGUCGGGGGAUGACGGUACCGGAAGAAUAAGCACCGGCUAACUACGUGCCAGCAGCCGCGGUAAUACGUAGGGUGCAAGCGUUAAUCGGAAUUACUGGGCGUAAAGCGUGCGCAGGCGGUUUGCUAAGACCGAUGUGAAAUCCCCGGGCUCAACCUGGGAACUGCAUUGGUGACUGGCAGGCUAGAGUAUGGCAGAGGGGGGUAGAAUUCCACGUGUAGCAGUGAAAUGCGUAGAGAUGUGGAGGAAUACCGAUGGCGAAGGCAGCCCCCUGGGCCAAUACUGACGCUCAUGCACGAAAGCGUGGGGAGCAAACAGGAUUAGAUACCCUGGUAGUCCACGCCCUAAACGAUGUCAACUAGUUGUUGGGGAUUCAUUUCCUUAGUAACGUAGCUAACGCGUGAAGUUGACCGCCUGGGGAGUACGGUCGCAAGAUUAAAACCAUCAAGGAAUUGAC
rnacentral:rRNA from 1 species